GUUUGAUCCUGGCUCAGGACGAACGCUGGCGGCGUGCCUAACACAUGCAAGUCGAGCGAAGUAUUUAAAGAAGAUCCCUUCGGGGUGAAACUUUAAAUAUCUUAGCGGCGGACGGGUGAGUAACGCGUGAGAAACCUGCCUUUCACAAAGGGAUAGCCUCGGGAAACUGGGAUUAAUACCUUAUAAUGUUUCAUCUUAGCAUUAAGAAGAAACCAAAGCGCAAAGCGGUGAAAGAUGGUCUCGCGUCCCAUUAGCUAGUUGGUGAGAUAAAAGCUCACCAAGGCGACGAUGGGUAGCCGGCCUGAGAGGGUGAACGGCCACACUGGAACUGAGACACGGUCCAGACUCCUACGGGAGGCAGCAGUGGGGAAUAUUGCACAAUGGAGGAAACUCUGAUGCAGCGACGCCGCGUGAGCGAUGAAGGCUUUCGAGUCGUAAAGCUCUGUCCUAGGGGACGAUAAUGACGGUACCCUAGGAGGAAGCCCCGGCUAACUACGUGCCAGCAGCCGCGGUAAUACGUAGGGGGCGAGCGUUGUCCGGAAUUAUUGGGCGUAAAGGGUUCGCAGGCGGCCUUUUAAGUCAGAUGUGAAAGCCCACGGCUUAACCGUGGUAAGCAUUUGAAACUGGAAGGCUUGAGUUAAGGAGAGGAAAGUGGAAUUCCUAGUGUAGCGGUGAAAUGCGUAGAUAUUAGGAGGAAUACCAGUGGCGAAGGCGACUUUCUGGACUUAUACUGACGCUGAGGAACGAAAGCGUGGGGAGCAAACAGGAUUAGAUACCCUGGUAGUCCACGCCGUAAACGAUGAGUGCUAGGUGUUGGGGGUCAAACCUCGGUGCCGCAGCUAACGCAUUAAGCACUCCGCCUGGGGAGUACGUACGCAAGUAUGAAACUCAAAGGAAUUGACGGGGGACCCGCACAAGCAGCGGGAGCAUGUGGUUUAAUUCGAAGCAACGCGAAGAACCUUACCAGGGCUUGACAUGCCUC
rnacentral:rRNA from 1 species